GUUAGGAAUAUUGGACAAUGGGCGCAAGCCUGAUCCAGCCAUGCCGCGUGAACGAUGAAGGCCUUCGGGUUGUAAAGUUCUUUAGCCGAUGAUUAUAAUGACUGUAGUCGGAAAAUAAGCCCCGGCUAACUUCGUGCCAGCAGCCGCGGUAAUACGAAGGGGGCGAGCGUUAUUCGGAAUCACUGGGCGUAAAGCGUGCGUAGGCGGUUUUGUAAGUUAGGAGUGAAAGCCCAGGGCUCAACCUUGGAAUUGCUCUUAAAACUGCAAGGCUCGAAUCUCGGAGAGGAUAGCGGAAUUUCCAGUGUAGCAGUGAAAUGCGUAGAUAUUGGAAGGAACACCAGUGGCGUAAGCGGCUAUCUGGACGAGUAUUGACGCUGAGGCACGAAAGCGUGGGGAUCAAACAGGAUUAGAUACCCGAGUAGUCC
rnacentral:rRNA from 1 species